AGCGAACGCUGGCGGCGUGCCUAACACAUGCAAGUCGAGCGAGAAAGGGGUGGCAACACCCUGAGUAAAGCGGCGAACGGGUGAGUAACGCGUGGGUAAUCUACCUUCCAGUCUGGGAUAACUUCCCGAAAGGGAGGCUAAUACCGGAUGAUGUCCUCAUGGGGCAUCCUAAGGGGAGCAAAGGGGGCGCCCGCAAGGAGCUCUCGCUGGAGGAGGAACCUGCGUCCGAUUAGCUAGUUGGUGGGGUAAUGGCUCACCAAGGCGACGAUCGGGAGCCGGCCUGAGAGGGUGACCGGCCACACUGGGACUGAGACACGGCCCAGACUCCUACGGGAGGCAGCAGUGGGGAAUCUUGCGCAAUGGGCGAAAGCCUGACGCAGCGACGCCGCGUGGGGGACGAAGGCCUUCGGGUUGUAAACCCCUGUCGGGCGGAACGAAUCCCCCGAGGACGAAUAGCCCAGAGGGUGACGGUACCUCCAGAAGAAGCCCCGGCUAACUACGUGCCAGCAGCCGCGGUAAAAC
rnacentral:rRNA from 1 species